UCUGGGAGCGGUGGCGUGCGCCUGUAGUCCCAGCUACUCGGGAGGCUGAGGUGGGAGGAUCGCUUGAGUCUAGGAGUUCUGGGCUGCAGUGCACUAUGCCCAUCGGGUGUCUGUACUAAGUUCGGCAUCAAUAUGUUGACCUCCCGGGAGCAGGGGACCACCAGGAUGCCUAAGGAGGGGUGAACCAGCCCAGGUCGGAAAUGGAGCAGGUCAAAACUCCUGUGCUGAUCAAUAGUUUCAUUUUUGUAAGAGGAGAGUGGUAUUGUGGGAAUUUGGUAAACAGCUCAGAGAGGCAGCAGAGAGAACCUUCU
rnacentral:SRP_RNA from 1 species